GCUGCUCUCGCAAAGACGGCAACAGUUUGGGCCGGCGACGGACCGGCCGAUGCGGACCAUACUGGCUGGGUUCGUGGCCCAGGGGGAGUC